UAUCAGCGCGUGGUUGCAACGCGACGGUCGGUACAGACGGUUAUUUUCCCUCCACGGCGGCUCUAACGUACGCUUCACAAUGGAGACCAAACCUGUCAUCACCUGCCUUAAAACCCUCCUUAUCGUAUACUCCUUCGUCUUUUGGAUAACAGGAGCCAUCCUGCUGGCAGUGGGAGUAUGGGGGAAGUUGAUGCUGGGCCCAUACAUCUCCCUGAUAGCCGACAACUCCACCAACGCCCCCUACGUCCUCAUCGGCACCGGGACAGUCAUCAUCGUGUUCGGCCUGUUCGGAUGCUUCGCCACCUGCAGAGGAAGCCCAUGGAUGCUGAAGCUGUAUGCCAUGUUUCUGUCACUGGUCUUCCUUGCUGAAUUAGUGGCUGGGAUCUCUGGAUUUGUCUUUCGCCAUGAGAUAAAGGGAACCUUUCACAGAACAUACACUGAUGCAGUCCUGAACUACAACGCUGAGGAUGAAGCCAGCCGUGCUGUUGAUAAUUUACAGCACAGGCUGCGUUGUUGUGGAGUGUAUAACUACACCAGUUGGCUUGCCAGUGUGUAUUACCCGUCCAACGGCAUUCCUGCCAGCUGCUGCUUCAACUCCUCUGACUGCAACCCAGAAGACCUUCGCAAUGCAACUGUAGCUCCAAGCAAAGUCUACCACCAGGGCUGCUAUGAACUGGUCACUGCAUUCAUGGAAACCAACAUGGCCAUCAUUGCAGGAGUGACAUUCGGGAUUGCCUUCUCACAGCUGAUUGGCAUGUUGUUGGCCUGCUGUCUGUCCAGGAUCAUCACAGCCAAUCAGUAUGAGAUGGUGUAGCUGAUGUGACGUGGCAGGGAGAUGAAGAGAAGAAGAGACAAAGAGCCGUGGCACAUGACAACAGGCAGUAGCCAGGAAUACUGAAGUCAUCAGAUGAAGCCCCCCUCCCUUCAGAAAUAUCCUGACCAGAUUUCAGUAGCAGGGCAGUAGCCAGGAAUACUGAAGUCAUCAGAUGACGCCCCCCUCCCUUCAGAAAUAUCCUGACCAGAUUUCAUUGGAUGUUUGAUCUUCACUGUGAAGAACGAUGUAUGUACAGACUGUGACACUAGAAGACUGUUUUCACAUUCAUCUGCUGAAACUGGAAGGUUUUAUUAAAUCUGAGUUUAAGAUGUGUAUUUGUGACAUCACAACUAGUUGUGAGCCAAUCAUGGUCCAGUAUGCAAUUUACUCAAGUGUAAUGUGAAAACUUGAAAUACACAUACACUGAGAAUGGACUUUUCAGUUUUCAAUAGAGUAGAAGGCAUAUUGCAUUCAGCAGUUGAACUUUUGAAAUUAAAAAUAUUUGCAUAUUCAUAGAUUCUGUAUUGUUCAUUGGAGAAGGAGAAGAUUUAUGUAAAUUGCAUUUUUAGCGGAAUCUGAGGGGAUCUUUAAACUUAUCACAUUAUGGUGUUUGUUUAAAGAGAAAGUCCUUCACUGCUCAUCAGAAGAACAUCUUGUUAAUCAGUCAGCUUCAUAUCAUUACAUUAAAUGGUAUACAGAAAUUAGUUUUCAAAUGGUAAUUCAAUCAGAUUAAAACUUAUUAAAUCUAUAUUACUGCUUUAAGGUGAGACAUGUAAAUGGAAACAUGCAGACUCUCUCUCUUCCUCUUUCAAACACACACAACCUUUCUCUUCUAAUCCGCGCUGAUAUCUCGUUUACUACCUUAUAAACUAAUAUAGCAUGCCCUUCCCACCCUGCUUGUCUGUUUGUGAUGUGAGCUGUUGUCACUGUUGUUCUUGCUGCAGUUGUUGUUCUAAUUGCUCUUGCUGCUUCGCUUCCAGCUUCCCUGCUGAACUCAGACACCCCUGCCUCACACUUUUCAGUAACAUGCAGCUGCGAUGACAAGUACUACAGUUCCCACUCAAGCUGCCUGUUCCUAUAGUGCAGCACCCCUCUCCUCCCCACCACCUGUCCCACUUCCCCCCCUUUCUCUCUCCCUCUCGCUCUCUCUUUGAAGACAGCGGGAUGAUGAUGACACCCGCCGUAAUCGGUGGAUGCUCAGCUUCUGACAUGACACACAAUCGAAAAACCCUUCCGAACCGAUCCAGGUUUUCAUUGUUGCACUCAGGCGCGGGGCGUCCUCUUGACAAGUGCAAAGGCAUUUCAUGGAAGAAUAGAGAAAGUGGGUGAGGUGGGGCCUUGAUUGACAGGCCUGCUGAGAGAGCAAAGCGAGAGCAUGUUCCUAUCUGAUCUCUGUUCAGCAGUAGUGCACCCUUUGCUCUGAUGACCUGCUUUUUCCCCCCCCUAACUGGAUUGAGGAUCAGCUAAUCUUUGGAAGGGAGAUCAGAUUAGUCCAUUUGUGUUGUUUGUGAAGCUGCUUCCAAGGCAGAUGUGCCAUUGAUGCGUUAUGGGAAAGAAACUAAGUGCAUUUAUUCCUCUAAUGUACUUAAGUACAGCUUUAUCAUUUUGUACUACUUUAUACAUUCACAGCGCAAUUUAGAGUAACAUAUUACACUUUUUGCUACAUUUAUUUAAAAGCAGUAAUAGUAUAUUUCAUAAUAACAAAUUAUGAAAUAUGAUGCAUAGUAAACAGAUUAAACUAACUUACAGUGCAGCUCAAAUAAGCUCUACCUUUAGUAUCUACAGCAUUAAUGUGCUUAUUACACGUUUACUCAUCUGUAUAAUAAUACAAAUUUAAUUGUGUAAAAAUAAUAAAUGAUAUCUAUAAUAUAAAACACAGGUGACUUUCUGCUACUUACAGUACAUUUAACCAAUAAUAAUGAUGUACUUUGACUUGAGUAAGAGUUUCAAUGAAGGAUUUUUACUUAACAGUAUCUCUACAUUUAAGUAUUCCUUCUUUUACAUAUGUAAAGGAUCUGAGUACUUCUUCCACCACUGAAACUAAUACAUUGAAGUACUGUACUGUACAGUUUGGAGGUGUGCUUUACCUGUUUCAAUUUGAUGCUACUUUACACCACCACUCCAUUGCAUUUCAGAGGGAAUAUUUAUCUGACAGCUAUAGUUACAAGUUAUUUUGCAGGUUUUUACUUUACAUUAUGGUAUUAAUACUCUUACUAAAGUAAAUGAAUACUUCUUCUAUCACUGACCUUUUGACAAGGAGUUGCGCAAUGAAAAGCGACAAGUGGCAAAUUCCAAGAGGAGCCGGAAGUAGGCUGGGCCACAGAGAGAAACUCUCCAGCAGGUUUUACCAUCCAUGUUCACAUUCCCACCAAUCUUGCUGAGCAACAAUUUUUGAACACUGAUUCAUUUGCUAGUAUCUAGGGCAAACUGUGCCACUAGACAUCUCUUCCUGGGCAUGGAGUAUCAUUCAGGCCACCUUUCUAUUCCAGUCUAAUCUUCCCCUCCCUCCUUUAUAUUAUUCCUUCCAGCCUAUCCCAUAAUAUAAUACAUGAAUAGAGUACAUACUUGUUUUUAUUCAACACCACUCAGGCUGACUUAUUUUUUGUUGAUGGCAACACAGUGAAAAACAUGUUUCUAUAGUUUCAGUCUUAGCAGAUGUGUUUACCAAAACUCAGAUUUCAAUCUGAGAUCCUCCAUGAGUGCAUGUGUGGUGCAUGCACUGUAGUGUGCCCAUAUCACAUGUACUGUAGUAUGAGUGGUGGGCUAUUUCUAAAGCAGAGCCUGUGGGGGUCCCCCCCUGUUUAUCAGCAGCUAUAGUUAGCAGAGUGAAGGGAAAUCAGAUGUCCAGCAUAUGAGAAACUGGCUAGUGCAACAGUUUAGUUUAAAGUGUAAUCUGAAAAGCUUGUCACUACGGUAAUUGGCUUAGACAAAAGUUAUCCUGAGGAGAAAUAACAAGGCCUGUAGUAUUUCUGCAGGAAUAUUAGCAUGUUUGUGUGAGCUUAAAUGUUUUCAAAUCCCUUUCUAACGCUUUAAUAGUAAUUGGGCAACUACAACAAGGAAAAGUAUAAUGGUUAUGUUGGGAAUGCCUACUGAUGUGGCACCAAAUAUUUCACUAUCUCACUACUAAUUCAACUCAUCACAAUGUUUUCAAUAGAGACCCUAAAUGUGCACUGAGUACAGAGAACAGUUACUCAAAAUGAUUACUCUGCAUUUCAGAGGGAAAUAUUACACUUUUUACUUAACUGCAGUCAUAGCUAUUAGUUACUUUACAGAUUAAGAUUUUCCCAUUA